CACAUCACAGAAAUCUUAUAUGCAUAGUAAUUGAC
rnacentral:tRNA from 1 species